rnacentral:rRNA from 1 species
UACGAAGGGUGCAAGCGUUGCUCGGAAUUAUUGGGCGUAAAGAGCACGUAGGCGGUUCUGUAAGUCGGAUGUGAAAUCCCUCGGCUUAACCGAGGACGUGCAUCCGAAACUGCGGAGCUCGAGUAUGGAAGAGGGUCGCAGAAUUCCCGGUGUAGAGGUGAAAUUCGUAGAUAUCGGGAGGAAUACCAGUGGCGAAGGCGGCGACCUGGGCCAAUACUGACGCUGAGGUGCGAAAGCGUGGGGAGCAAACAGG